rnacentral:rRNA from 1 species
UACGUAGGGUGCGAGCGUUAAUCGGAAUUACUGGGCGUAAAGUGUGCGCAGGUGGCUUCGCAAGUCGCGUGUGAAAUCCCCGGGCUUAACCUGGGAAUUGCGCUCGAAACUACGGAGCUGGAGUAUGACAGAGGGAGGUGGAAUUCCACGUGUAGCGGUGAAAUGCGUAGAGAUGUGGAGGAACACCAAUGGCGAAGGCAGCCUCCUGGGCCAAUACUGACACUCAUGCACGAAAGCGUGGGGAGCAAACAGG